rnacentral:rRNA from 1 species
AACGAACGCUGGCGGCGUGCCUAACACAUGCAAGUCGAGCGAGAAAAGGGGAGCAAUCCCCUGAGUACAGCGGCGCACGGGUGAGUAACACGUAGGUGAUCUCCCCUCGAGCCCGGAACUAACCUACCGAAAGGUGGGCUAAUACCGGAUAUGACCACGGGAGGUUUUGGUCUCCUGCGGUGAAAGAUGGCCUCUACCUGUAAGCUAUCACUCAAGGAUGAGCCUGCGNGCCAUUAGCUAGUUGGUGAGGUAACGGCUCACCAAGGC